AACGAACGCUGGCGGCAUGCCUAACACAUGCAAGUCGAACGAGACCUUCGGGUCUAGUGGCGCACGGGUGCGUAACGCGUGGGAACCUGCCUUUAGGUUCGGAAUAACUCAGAGAAAUUUGAGCUAAUACCGGAUAAUGUCUUCGGACCAAAAGAUUUUAUCGCCUUUAGAUGGGCCCGCGUUGGAUUAGCUAGUUGGUGGGGUAAAGGCCUACCAAGGCGACGAUCCAUAGCUGGUCUGAGAGGAUGAUCAGCCACACUGGGACUGAGACACGGCCCAGACUCCUACGGAGGCAGCA
rnacentral:rRNA from 1 species